rnacentral:snoRNA from 1 species
AGCACUAUAUUUAAACCUGUGGAUGGGAAUUUUCCCCAUUCUUGGUACGCUGUAGUGCAAAAGAAUUCCUGGCUCUAUCUCUUGCAAAGCUUACUUAUACUAUACUGCUGUGGCUAUAUGGAGUAAAGGACAUGA